UAGGAUUCUGAAUUUCAUAAAGGUGAAUCUU
rnacentral:piRNA from 1 species